CGUGUAGGCGGCCCGGUAAGUCUGCUGUGAAAACCCGGGGCUCAACCCCGGGCGUGCAGUGGAAACUGCCGGGCUAGAGGGCGGCAGAGGCGAGUGGAACUCCCGGUGUAGCGGUGAAAUGCGCAGAUAUCGGGAGGAACACCAGUGGCGAAGGCGACUUUCUGGUCUGUAACUGACGCUGAUGUGCGAAAGCGUGGGGAUCAAACA
rnacentral:rRNA from 1 species